UGCCCAGCAACUCCUAUCUCUACCUCCACGCGGUACCGGCCGGAAACUAUGAGCAACCUUAGGGAAGAUCGGGUAACCAACCCCGGUGGGAACAUUGGUCGUUGGCUGACAGGAAAGG
rnacentral:ribozyme from 1 species